UACGUAGGUGGCAAGCGUUGUCCGGAUUUACUGGGCGUAAAGAGCGCGCAGGCGGUCGUUCAAGUCGCGUGUGAAAGCCCCCGGCUCAACUGGGGAGGGUCACGCGAUACUGAUCGACUCGAAGGCAGGAGAGGGAAGCGGAAUUCCCGGUGUAGUGGUGAAAUGCGUUGAUAUCAUCAGGAACACCGGUGGCGAAGGCGGCUUUCUGGGUCUUACCUGACGCUGAGGAACGAAAGCUAGGGGAGCAAACGGG
rnacentral:rRNA from 1 species